rnacentral:misc_RNA from 1 species
CAAACCUCAAGCUCUUCUGUAGCUUGGCUUUGGGGCAUCUGCUUGGCUUUAGGUCUUGCAGGCCCUGAAAAUCGACGGCGGACCUGUUAGGCCUCUAAGCGCAGUAAAUCUUCUCGCUUCUGAGUCAUAACUAGCUCUUGCCUCACCUAUAACUUUCUUAA